UACGUAGGUGGCAAGCGUUAUCCGGAAUUAUUGGGCGUAAAGAGCGCGCAGGUGAUUAAUUAAGUCUGAUGUGAAAGCCCACGGCUUAACCGUGGAGGGUCAUUGGAAACUGGUUGACUUGAGUGCAGAAGAGGGAAGUGGAAUUCCAUGUGUAGCGGUGAAAUGCGUAGAGAUAUGGAGGAACACCAGUGGCGAAGGCGGCUUCCUGGUCUGCAACUGACACUGAGGCGCGAAAGCGUGGGGAGCAAACAGG
rnacentral:rRNA from 1 species